rnacentral:rRNA from 1 species
UACAGAGGAUGCAAGCGUUAUCCGGAAUGAUUUGGCGUAAAGCGUCCGCAGGUGGUUUUGUAAGUCUGCUGUUAAAGCGUUAGGCUCAACCUAAUAAGGGCAGUGGAAACUAUGAGACUAGAGUAUGUUAGGGGUAGAGGGAAUUCCCAGUGUAGCGGUGAAAUGCGUAGAGAUUGGGAAGAACACCGGUGGCGAAAGCGCUCUGCUAGGACAAUACUGACACUGAGGGACGAAAGCUAGGGGAGCGAAUGGG